GGGGGGGGGGGGGGGGGGGGGGGAGACAUGGAAGGGGGACGGGGAGGCCCGGCUUUGGGGGGGUGCGCGGGGGGCGAACGGGGGAGGAACCCGGGAGGAACCGGGCCGUGACUUUGGGGUAACUUCGGGAAACGGGGGCUAAUACCGGGUGGGAGCUCCUGCUGCAUGGUGGGGGUUGGAAAGUUUGGGCGGUUGGGGAUGGACUCGCGGCUUAUCAGCUUGUUGGUGGGGUAGUGGCUUACCAGGGCUUUGACGGGUAGCCGGCCUGAGAGGGUGACCGGCCACAUUGGGACUGAGAUACGGCCCAGACUCCUACGGGAGGCAGCAGUGGGGAGUAUUGCACAAUGGGCGGAAGCCUGAUGCAGCAACGCCGCGUGCGGGAUGACGGCCUUCGGGUUGUAAACCGCUUUCGCCUGUGACGAAGCGUGAGUGACGGUAAUGGGUAAAGAAGCACCGGCUAACUACGUG
rnacentral:rRNA from 1 species